UGAAGAGUUUGAUCAUGGCUCAGAUUGAACGCUGGCGGCAGGCCUAACACAUGCAAGUCGAGCGGUAGAGAGAAGCUUGCUUCUCUUGAGAGCGGCGGACGGGUGAGUAAUGCCUAGGAAUCUGCCUGGUAGUGGGGGAUAACGUUCGGAAACGGACGCUAAUACCGCAUACGUCCUACGGGAGAAAGCAGGGGACCUUCGGGCCUUGCGCUAUCAGAUGAGCCUAGGUCGGAUUAGCUAGUUGGUGGGGUAAUGGCUCACCAAGGCGACGAUCCGUAACUGGUCUGAGAGGAUGAUCAGUCACACUGGAACUGAGACACGGUCCAGACUCCUACGGGAGGCAGCAG
rnacentral:rRNA from 15 species